UACGGAGGGUGCAAGCGUUAUCCGGAUUUAUUGGGUUUAAAGGGUCCGUANGCGGAUCUGUAAGUCAGUGGUGAAAUCUCACAGCUCAACUGUGAAACUGCCAUUGAUACUGCAGGUCUUGAGUAAGGUAGAAGUGGCUGGAAUAAGUAGUGUAGCGGUGAAAUGCAUAGAUAUUACUUAGAACACCAAUUGCGAAGGCAGGUCACUAUGUCUUAACUGACGCUGAUGGACGAAAGCGUGGGGAGCGAACAGGAUUAGAUACCCUGGUAGUCCACGCCGUAAACGAUGCUAACUCGUUUUUGGGGCUUUAUGCUUCAGAGACUAAGCGAAAGUGAUAAGUUAGCCACCUGGGGAGUACGUUCGCAAGAAUGAAACUCAAAGGAAUUGACGGGGGCCCGCACAAGCGGUGGAUUAUGUGGUUUAAUUCGAUGAUACGCGAGGAACCUUACCAAGGCUUAAAUGGGAAUUGAUCGGUUUAGAAAUAGACCUUCCUUCGGGCAAUUUUCAAGGUGCUGCAUGGUUGUCGUCAGCUCGUGCCGUGAGGUGUUAGGUUAAGUCCUGCAACGAGCGCAACCCCUGUCACUAGUAGCCAGCAUUUGAGGUGGGCACUCUAGGGAGACUGCCAGGGAUAACCUGGAGGAAGGCGGGGAUGACGUCAAAUCAUCAUGCCCCUUAUGACUUGGGCUACACACGUGCUACAAUGGCGUAAACAAAGGGAAGCAAAUCCGUGAGGCCGAGCAAAUCCCAAAAAUAACGUCUCAGUUCGGACUGUAGUCUGCAACUCGACUACACGAAGCUGGAAUCGCUAGUAAUCGCGAAUCAGAAUGUCGCGGUGAUACGUUCCCGGUCUUGCACACACCGCCC
rnacentral:rRNA from 1 species